AUAAACUGGGAGGGAUUAGUGCCAGGGAGGAUUUCGCCGUCACAGCUUCUCAGAAGCAGUUUCAGUUCUCAGCGAGUGGGAGCUGCGGAAAGGGGAUCCAAGAAGGCCUCUUGCUGAGGUGGUAAUAAUAAGAAGAAGAAGAUGGCUAUCCAAUAUCCUCAUAAGCCUCAGCAACCCCCGACCUGCACCCAACAGCAGCAUAGAGUUCCCAGGAAGCCGAGGUUUCCCAGUCAUUGUGAGUGUUUCCUCUUCUAAACCUGGAGGACUUCUUGGAGGCAGGGAUAUCAUCUAUAUAAGUGACUGUCACUGCUGCUCCUCACUCUAUGGGAGGAGACUGGUCUAUUACAAGGUAAGUAGCUGUGUAAUCUCCUACAUUUAUAAAGACUGAACCUUGUUGUGUCUGUGACCGCUGCUGCUAUUACCACUACUAGAGUGACUCUUGGGAAGAAAAGGAAAAGGAGGAAGAGUAGGAAGAGAG